rnacentral:lncRNA from 1 species
GUGCUGGGUUUAUAUGCAUGAGCCAUUGUGCCUGGAUUGUUUUUUAAUUUUUAUUUUUUGUGAGUACAUAGUAGGUGUAUAUAUUUAUGGAGUACAUAAGAUGUUUUGACACAGGCAUGCAAUGCAUAAUAAUCACAUCUUGCAGAAUGAGGUAUCCAUCCCCUCAAGCAUUUAUCCAUUGUGUUACAAACAAUCCAACUAUACUUUAUAAUAACUUAUUUUAAAAUCUACAAUUAAAUUAUUAGUGACUAGAGUGACCCUAUUAUGUUAUCUAAUGGUAGGUCUUAUUUAUUCUAACCCCAAAGUGCUAGGAUUACAGGCGUGAGCCACCGCGCCCGGCCCUAUUUUUUUUUUUACACCCGUUAACCAUCCCCACCUUUCUCCAAUUCCCCUAUUACAAUUCCCAGUCCCUGGUAAACAAAUUUUGGCGAUUGUGAACAGUGCUGUAACAAACAAAGAAGUGCAGAUAUCUCUUAAAUAUACUGAUUUCCAUAAAAUAUAUCUAUUAUCGAUAUCAAUUUAUAAACAAAUAACCUGAACUCAGAAAGUUUAAAUAAUUUUAUCAAGUUGUAAAGGUAGUAAAUGCCAGAUCAACAUUACUUUAAAUCUUGAAUAUUGUGAUUGCUUAUAUUCUCCUUUAGCAAACCUAAGCAAACAGAGAUAUAAAAUUAUCAUUAUUACAAAAUAUGCUUUAUUCUUUUUACACUGAGGUGAUAAUAUGGAAGUCCUAUUGAAAAAGAAAUCAGCACCAUGGUCAGAUCCACACCCUCUGAUGUGCACUUCCUAUCCCCCUUUCCUUAGGCACACAAAGCUUCUAUAUUUUUAAUUUUCCCACUUGCCCUCCUAUUAUUUCUAUAGUACAUAUUAUCCUUCUAACUCAUAAACUAGGUUCUAUGCUUUCAUUACUGGUCUACAUUCCAAAAACCCUAGAGGGAUUUUAUCCUUACCACAUAUUCCAUUUUGCAUCACUUAGAAAACAAAAAUUUUCACACUCUUUGGACUUUCCGAAACGACGGUAGAAUUAUAGCUGAUUUUCAGCAACCUAAACUUAACAAUGGUUUGUAUUGUAAAUGUUUAUUUGUGUUUCUGUCUUUAAAUGGGACUAUUAAAUAGGGAUCCACCUGCCUCGGCUUCCCAAAGUGCUGGGAUUACAGGUAUGAGCCACUGCACCCGGCCAACAAUCUUAUUUUAAAAUAAUGCAUUGUAGUGAGCUGAGAUCAGAGCCAUAAGUGGGGCAACUGGAAUCACAGCUGGAAUGACUGAGUAGCACACCACUGGCGUGCAGAGAAUAGUCACAAGGAACUUAAACAAAUUUACAAGAAAAAAAAACCAAACAACCCCAUUAAAAAGUGGGCAAAGGACAUGAAGAGACACUUCUCAAAAGAAGAUAUGCAUGUGACCAACGAACACAUGAAAAAUGGGUAUUUACAUCACUGACAAUAUAUCAUUAUUUUGAAAAUGCUGCACUAAGUAUACUUGAGGUGAAUAUGAACAUAUCUGCAAAUAUUUCUUCAAAUUAAUUUCUGGAAGUCUAGAUUAGUAUUUUGCACAGUUUUAUUUUUAUCAUUUAAAUUUAAUUUUAUGCUUUCCCUCCUUUGUCUUUAAUUUUUUGCCAUUCAAUUAUGACAUUUUAAAUGGCCCUUCUAUCUGUAGUUGGUUUCAAAAAAUAUAUUCAUAUGUCAAUUCAUAUGUCAAUAAGACUUUCUUUUUUUCUCUGAAUCUACUUAGUUGUGCUUCCUUAGACAACCUAUAACUCAGGAAAUCAAAACUCUGUAUCUCCUUACCGCCUCAUGGGUGGUGAUGUUAUGUUAUUCACCUUGGUUUUAUGAAGUGGUUCUCUUUGGUGCUCCUGAUAAUUCUAAUAUUAAAAAUUAUGCAGGUCUAUUUUUGCACUGUUAUUUCUUUUGAUUAUUUCUUAUGAUCCCAUGUUUUUGUCUUUCAUUUUAUACAUGAUUUGACUAUUUUUCUUGGAAAACUUCUGUUAUUUAAUUAAGGCAUUUGUAUUUGCUUCUGCUAGCCACUUAGUGGCAAGGAGCAUUUGAAAUUAUAUAAACCUAAUAGCUUGUCUUAUACAACUUUAAUCUGUAUGUAUCUUAUACUACUUGGGCAAGUUCCAUUCUUUUCCUUUUUCCCCAUGUAACUAAAAUAUAUUUAAAAACCAUAGCUCAAAUAUUUCAAGUUUGGCAGGUGUCUUUCUUUAUAUCCCUGGUGUGUGAUGUUCCCCUUCCUGUAUCCAAGUGUUCUCAUUGUUCAAUUCCCACCUGUGAGUGAGAACGUGCAGUGUUUGUUUUUUUGUCCUUGCAAUAGUUUGCUGAGAAUGAUGGUUUCCAGCUUCAUCCAUGUCCCUACAAAGGAUGAUUUUAUGACUAUGUAUGUUGGUGAUGGUCUUUUUGUGAUGAAUUUCCCAGGAAGUAUACGAGGUUUCUGUAUUCAGGCGUCUAGAUCUCUAGGAAGGCCAGAGAAGUUUUCCUCUAUUAUUCCUUCAAAUAAAUUUUUUUGAGAAGUGUCUGUUCAUACCCUUUACCCACAUUUUGAAGGAGUCGUUUGUUUUUUUCUUCUAAAUUUAGACAUUUAGAAUUACACAUGAAGGCAUUAGAAGUCAUUGAUAAAUUUUAGUUAUGGAUAAACAUUUUAUCAGGUUUUUUGUGUUAGCAAUAUAAUUCAGUCUAGUGUAUGGAGAAUGGAUUAGAGUAUGGAUAAAUUUGGAGAAGGAAGCAAGGAGUUAGAAAUAGUUGCAGUUAUCCAAGUGAGAGAUAUAUGGUGUAUGAAUUAUUGGAAUUUGAAGUCUAGAUACAGAUAAGUAAUUAGAAAUAAGGUGUAUUAGGAGGUAGAAUCCAGGGAAUUGGUAAUUUGCAGUGAGCUGAGAUCACACCACUGAACUGUAGCCUGGGUGACAGAGUGAGACUCCGUCUCAAAAAAAAAAAAAAAAAAAAGAAAAAAGAAAAAAAAUGAAAAAGAACACUGUUUUCAAUUAAGGAACACUGGAUUCCUUUUUCAUUAUGGUCAACUAUACUAAGUAAGAUUAUAAGUGACUUAAAUAAAGUGCAAUACAAAGAAAUAUUUUGAUGAAAACAUUUGUCCCAGCAAAUGAGCCAAAAUAAGACCCAAACAAAAGUAAACUAGUUAUCUUUUAUUUCCUUUCCAUCUUUAUUAUUACCAUUUGUCAUUUAAAAUGAGUUUUCCUUCAUGCAGAUUGUCUCUCAGUUGAAAUUUAAUAUGUAAAUCUUAGCAGUUCAUUUGGUUCCUAAAAACUUGGGGUGUACUGGUACAACAUAUGCACAUUGUGCUUCUGCAAGGAAGAUAAUUCAAUCAUACGCUAGCCCCCUCCCCAGAGGAAUAGCAAUUUAUGAAGGGCAAGCUAUGAAGAACACUUGUUUUACUUAUUCUCCUGCCUGUGUGUGCCUCCUGGUUAAAAUGGGUUAGCAGACAGCGUGCAUGGUUUAACUUAGAGUCAGAGAAAGCAAUUAUAUUACAUGAUAUUUGUAAGGAUAACUUAUAGAUAAGGAGUAGGGAGCAGGGGUCAGAAUGGUAGCCAGUGGGAAACGUGCCACUGAUGUUCAGGGAAAGAAAAAGAAGAACAAGGAAUAGUCCCAAAGCUAAGGUAGAAAACAGAAAUUUAAAUAGACCCCAGGAUAAAUACUAGAUGAGACAGAAACCCAACUUAGGGCCAGACUCUAUUUACUUCAACAAGGGAAGCAGCUGGAGGGUAAGCAGCUGUAUAAUUCAACAUAUAUAACUUGGGUUAAUACCAGUGGGUGAAGAAAAGUUUGGGGCAAUUGAAAGAGUAGGAUAAGCAGAGUUGUGACUUAGAUAAAAAACAAUUUACAGAGAAAAAGCAUUAGGGAAAAGUAGGCAUAGUAAGCAUAUUUUAACUGAUCAGGAGGGUCCUUCGAAAUGUAAAUGAAAGUAUAAAUGUAGUUAUAAUUUACUAUAUAAAGCAAUUAUAGUGGGUGCUUUCGAUGCCCUGUCCAUAUCCAAUUUACUAGGUGGUAUACACCUACCUUCUAGUUGGGAGGGGCUAUGUUAACAGCUUAUACCCGGGAUGGAUGUUACAUUUCCCGUCCAUUGCACUUAUGGCUUAAUAAGGGGGCUCUGUGGUCUAUUUGCUUUGCUUAAGAGGGAUGACUCUGCAAUGUGAUUUAUGCUCCAGAGCAUGCUCAUGAAUCAGAUCAAGGAUAGAAUCUAUGUGAGACUACACUCUUGCCCAGCUCCUUCCUCUUUCCUAUUUGGCUGCCCACAUUCGCAGGUUUUCCUGAUGAGAGCUCCCUCAAUCUUAUCCACCUGAAACCCUGACACUAGCUUUGCUUCUGCAGUGCCUGACCUUGAAUAGUUGGUACUAGUCAAUCUACUAUAUUCAUGUCAGUAACAAAAUGUCCCAAUUCCAUUUAUUAUCUUGCUAGAUGUUGUGGUACAGGAAGGUGUACGAGGAGGCAAUUAGAACAGCUAUUGAGCUAUAUCUCUUGACUUUUGAAGAACAGUUUUGCCAGGCAUAGUAUUCUUGGUUGUCAGUUCUCCCCCGCCUCCCCUCAGCACUUUGAAAAUAUCUUCCCACUUUUCUAUGCUGCAAAGUUUCUAUUGAAAAUUCUGCUUAUAUUCUUAUAGUGGUUCUCAGAUAAGUGACAAGUUGUACAAUCAGCAUCAGUAUAAAAGUAAGUAGCCGGGUGUGGUCACUCAUGUCUGUAAUCCUGGCACUUUGGGAGACUGAGGCCGGCAGAUCACGAGGUCUGGAGUUUGAGGCCAGCCUGAUCAGCGUGAUGAAACCCCAUCUCUACUAAAAAUACAAAAAUUAGCCAGGUGUGGUGGCACAUGCCUGUAAUCCCAGCCACUCAGGAGGCUGAGGCAGGAGAAUCCCUUGAACCUGGGUGGUGGAGGUUGCAGUGAGCUGAGAUCACGCCACUGCACUCCAGCCUGGGCCACAGGGCAAGACUCUUUCUCAAAAAAAAAAAAAAGAAAAGAAAAAAAAAGUAAAAGUAAGUAAAUUAAUAGAUCUAAAUCUACAGACUAUGUUCUAGAUAUCAUUUGAGUAUGUGGUAGAUAUAAUAAAUAGUUGGUUUCAAUUGUUUAUUUCACAUUCUUGCCUUAGACACAUGGUAGGCAGAAUAACUUUCUGUCCUUGCCUAGGCCUUCACUAUACUAUUUGAUUUUGGUCAACUAGAUGUUACAGCACUCAAUGCAAGUGGAGGCUUGAAAUGUACAUACCUGUUUGGGCUUCCUCAUUGGGCUUUUGAUAUCACCAUCAGAAUAGCAUACCUCAGCAGUCACUGUCCCUUUAACCUAAGCCCCACAUGAAACACAUGAAAAAUACUUGAACUUGAGCUGUAGCCCAAAGCUAUGCUGACUAAAUCCAGCCAAGCCCAGCCAAGAUCAGCCAAAUACCAUCUGACACUCUGGUUCUGAGUGAUGAAAGUAAAUAUUUGUUGUUGUAAGCCACUAAACAUUUGAGAGUGUUUGUUAUGUAAUUAAUUAUUGUAGACAAAGAUAAUGUAUAGCUUAAGUAUUGAAUUUUUUUCUAAAAAGGUAAAUGUUUAAUAUAUAGAAAAGAUUCAUAACUGGUGCAAACUUUGCACCCAAAAGGACAUUGUAUAAUGCCUGCAAUUUUUGGUAGUCACAAAUCAGAAGGAACUAUUGGCAUGUAGUCCAAUAUGUCAAUAGUGCCUAGGGUGAUCACCCAUGAAUUAAAAGUUUACAUUAGAUAUUGAAAUGAGUCAAAUGAUUUGUUUAAAAACAAGAAAAUGGCCAGGGACAGUAGUUCACACCUGUAAUUCCAGCACUUUGGGAGGUCAGCCUCUCAAAAUGGUCGAAUUAUGGGCGUGAGCCACUGUGCCUGGCCAUUUUGUAGGCCCUCUCAACAAGAGACCUCACCUCUACACACACACACACACACACACACACACACACACACAAUAGCUGGGUGCUACCAAACAGCUAAUGUGUGUAUGUGCCUGGCUGCAGCGAGCUGUGAUCUCGUGACUGCAUUCCAGCCUGGGCACCAGAAUGGGACCCCAUCUCCAAAAAAUAAAACAAAAUACCAAAAACCCCAAGAAAAUGUUUAGUUUUUACAUCUAUGGACUUGAAUAUAUGGCCACAUGUUCACCAAAAACUUCGGCAAUGUACCCACAAAACUGUCAUAUAUCAAGCCUCCUUCUCCAUUCUCAUGGCUUCUUUUUGACUUCAUAUUUUGUUCUUCCAAUUAGAGUAUGGUAUCUUGGGAUGUUUUCCUGGUUUCAGUAUUGCUCAUGAUUCCAAUCUAACUUUGACAGUGCUAGCAACAUAAUCUUUUAUAAGGUUUAGUUUUAGUCAUGUCACACAGAGAAUUCACAUGGAUAAGUUUUAUAAUUUUUCAAAUCUUUUAUAUUUUGACUGAUUCUAAAAUUUCUCCUUCAACAAACUCAGACCCACUGUCUGAAACACAUACUAUAUUUGAUUGACUCACCAUAUAAAUACCCAUUACCUCUAUGAGGCUUAAAAUUAUAUUAUAACCAGAGCACUUCAAUUCACUGGACAAAAAAUUUUAAAAAUUUAAAAUUCAAAAAUUUUAAAAAUACUAUAGGCUCAUGCCUGUAGUCCCAGCUACUCUGGAGGCUGAGGUGAGGGGACUGUGGUCCCAGCUACUCUGGAGGCUGAGGUGAGGAGCCUGUGGUCCCAGCUACUCUGGAGGCUGAGGUGAGGGGACUGUGGUCCCAGCUACUCUGGAGGCUGAGGUGAGGGGACUGCUUGAGCCUGGGAGGUUGAGGCUGCAGUGAGCCAUCAAUGCAGGAGUGCACUCCGGCCUGAGUGCCAGAACAAAAGAAGAAAAGAAAAGAAUUUGGCUAAAAAGAAGAAAGAAAAAUAGAUCAUAAAUGAUUCUUUAGGUUUGUAGUUUAGGUGCUUCAGUAGAUGUUUAUGCUAUUGAUGAUUAUAGACAAUUCACAAACAGAAUUUAUUGAGGAUAAAAGUUCAUUGAAUGAGAUUGGGACACGUUACAUUUAGAAAUUUGAAGUUUUGUGAAAUAACCAUGGUUUAAAUGAUAGUCAAUUCCACAUAAGUGCUAAUAAAAAGAAUGAUAAUGUAUGAGAAAAUACAGUAGGAACCUCAAAAUUGAAGCAAAAUAAUCUGAAGGUAAAAAUCGUUUUUUUUUUUUUUUUUUUUUUUGAGAUGGAGUCUGGCUCUGUCACCAAGGCUGGAGUGCAGUGGUGUGAUCUUGGCUCACUGCAACUUCUGCCUCCCAAGUUCAAGCGAUUCUCCAGCCUCAGCCUCCCAAGUAAGUGGGAUUACAGUCAUGUGCCACCAUGUCUGGCUAAUUUUGUGUGUGUGUGUGUGUGUGUGUGU